GCCAAUGUGGUGCAGUGGUUUGAGUGCUGGACUAUGAUUCUGGAGACUCCAGGGUUGGAAUCCUGGCCUGGCCA